rnacentral:piRNA from 1 species
UGGAAGGGACUCGAUAAUGUAACUGGCUCU